rnacentral:rRNA from 1 species
ACUCCUACGGGAGGCAGCAGUGGGGAAUAUUGCACAAUGGGCGCAAGCCUGAUGCAGCCAUGCCGCGUGUAUGAAGAAGGCCUUCGGGUUGUAAAGUACUUUCAGCAGUGAGGAAGGUUCAUACGUUAAUAGCGUAUGGAUUUGACGUUAGCUGCAGAAGAAGCACCGGCUAACUCCGUGCCAGCAGCCGCGGUAAUACGGAGGGUGCGAGCGUUAAUCGGAAUUACUGGGCGUAAAGCGCAUGCAGGUGGUUUGUUAAGUCAGAUGUGAAAGCCCGGGGCUCAACCUCGGAAUUGCAUUUGAAACUGGCAGACUAGAGUACUGUAGAGGGGGUAGAAUUUCAGGUGUAGCGGUGAAAUGCGUAGAGAUCUGAAGGAAUACCGGUGGCGAAGGCGGCCCCCUGGACAGAUACUGACACUCAGAUGCGAAAGCGUGGGAGCAAACAGGAUUAGAUACCCUGGUAGGAUAGC